rnacentral:rRNA from 1 species
UACGUAGGGUGCAAGCGUUAAUCGGAAUUACUGGGCGUAAAGCGUGCGCAGGCGGUGAUGUAAGACAGUUGUGAAAUCCCCGGGCUCAACCUGGGAACUGCAUCUGUGACUGCAUGGCUUGAGUGUGGCAGAGGGGGGUGGAAUUCCACGUGUAGCAGUGAAAUGCGUAGAGAUGUGGAGGAACACCGAUGGCGAAGGCAGCCCCCUGGGCCAACACUGACGCUCAGGCACGAAGGCGUGGGGAGCAAACAGG